rnacentral:rRNA from 1 species
CAAGUCGAGUGCGCGUUUCCGUAGCAAUACGGAAAUGGCGCACGGCGCACGGGUGCGUAACACGUGGGUAACCUGCCCUUUGGUGGGGAAUAACCUCGCGAAAGCGAGGCUAAUUCCGCAUAAGAUCCGCAAGGAUGAAAGCCGUAAGGCGCCGAAGGAGGGGCCCGCGCACGAUUAGCUAGUUGGUGAGGUAAUGGCUCACCAAGGCUAUGAUCGUUAGCUGGUCUGAGAGGAUGGCCAGCCACACUGGAACUGAGACACGGUCCAGACUCCUACGGGAGGCAGCAGUGGGGAAUCUUGCACAAUGGGCGAAAGCCUGAUGCAGCGACGCCGCGUGGGGGAUGAAGCUUCUCGGAGUGUAAACCCCUUUCGACCGGGACGAAUACCUCGCAAGAGGGGUGACGGUACCGGUAUAAGAAGCCCCGGCUAACUACGUGCCAGCAGCCGCGGUAAGACGUAGGGGGCCAGCGUUGCUCGGAAUUACUGGGUGUAAAGGGUUCGUAGGCGGUGUGGCAAGUCGGGAGUGAAAUCCCUGGGCUCAACCCAGGGGCUGCUUCCGAAACUGCUGUGCUAGAGUGUGGGAGAGGCGCGUGGAAUUGCAGGUGUAGCGGUGAAAUGCGUAGAUAUCUGCAGGAACACCCGUGGCGAAAGCGGCGCGCUGGACCACUACUGACGCUGAGGAACGAAAGCUAGGGGAGCAAACAGGAUUAGAUACCCUGGUAGUCCUAGCCCUAAACGAUCAGGACUUGGGGUGCCACCCGUUCGGGUGUCGUCCCGGAGCUAACGCGUUAAGUCCUGCACCUGGGGAGUACGGUCGCAAGACUGAAACUCAAAGGAAUUGACGGGGGCCCGCACAAGCGGUGGAACAUGUGGUUCAAUUCGACGCUACGCGAGGAACCUUACCUGGGCUCGAAAUGCUAGUGACCAGCUUUA